UUACUGACGCACUAGAGUACACGUGUCUUUAUACGUGAGUAUGUAUUGAGGUUACUUACGAACUAAAGUAACCGAUGUAUUCUGGUUACAUACGAACUAAAGUAACUGAUAUAUUGAUAUUACUGACGUACUAAAGUACACUUGUCUUUAUACGUGAGUAAGUAUUAAGGUUACUUACGAACUACAGUAACCGAUGUAUUCUGGUUACAUACGAACUAAUAUAACUGAUAUAUUGAUAUUACUGACGCACUAGAGUACACUUGUCUUUAUACGUGAGUAAGUAUUAAGUUUACUUACGUACUAAAGUUACCGAUGUAUUCUGGAUACAUACGAACUAAUAUAUUGAUAUUACUGACGAACUAAAGUACAGUUAUCUAUAUAUUAUACGUCAGUAUGUAUUAAGUUUAGUUAUGUACUAAAGUAACCGAUGUAUUCUCGUAACAUACGAACUAAGGUAAGAGAUAUAUUUUAGUAACUUACGUAUUAUUAUUUGUUAUAUUAUGAUUUAUUUUUGGUUUCGCAAUUAAUCUUUUUGGUUAUGUGUAUUUAGAUAGCUAGAGAUCUGUUUAUCAUUUGCAGUUUGUCUAUAAAACAUUUUUUUAAAUAUUCAAUUAUAUUGAAGUGGGUACACAUCAUACUUUGAAUGUAUAUUGUCAUAAUCUUCACUUCUAAGAUCAGAUGAAAUUGACGUGAAGAUUAUUACAGAAACUCAGAAGACUCUGUUUUCAAGACAAGUGUGGUUAAUUUUAUGGCAAUUUAAUAAUGUUAUUAUCUAUCAUGUUGUAAAAUAUUAUAAAAAUUCAAUAUUUUUCUCUCUUCUCACUUUUCACAGUAGUAUUUUCUACAGCGCAUAUCUUAGUGUUACGAAAGUUAUAAGAAUGAGGUAAUUCAAAAAAAAAACAAUUAAAGAUACUCCAUGUAAAUAUACAAUAUAAAAUAUACUUGGAAUCUUUAUAGAAUAGUAGGUUUUAGGAUAUUAAUAAUGUUAACUGUGUAUGAAAUGCAACGAAGUGUUUUUUUUAUAUUACUCAUAUUUUUCAAGUAAUUGGCUUUAAUCUGAAUUUAUUCUACGAAAUUAUUAAUUUUUAAAUUUGUUUAGUUAGUUUUUGUAUUUUAAUAAUCAUUGUUUAAGAUGCGCGUAAAUGUAUCGCAAAUAACGUAUGACUUGAAUAAUAAUUUAUAUUUACGUAUAUAGUUUAUCAAAUAAAGUCAGCAAAUGCUUUGAUGCGAAAUUUGGAAAAAAAUUGCUAUUAAUGAUUUUGAGCACAUCUUGCUAUCCGAAAGGAUCGCGUGAGUAGUUAUAAAAUACAGAGUAGUAUUGCCGAUAUUUCGUUCUCGCUCGCACAUGUGUGUAUGAUUGAUAAAAAAAGUUUUUUGACAUAUUUACUUGGAUCACUUCGUAUUAUUUGACCUUAUUACUAAUGUAAAUAUUAAUUAUAAUGUAUGUUUUUAUAUUAACAGUUAAUGACGCCAUUAAUACGGACGUAUGAGUGAAGAUGCAGAGUUUAUAAAGUAUUGUAUGAUAUCGUUCACAAGUGUUCUUGAAUCUAUAGUCGUUAAGAAGUUACCAAUUGAUUAUUUUAUUUAACACACACUGAAUCUGUCUAUAUUGAGACUUAGGAACAAUUAUUAAUUAAACGCCUACUUAUUAUGAACAAUAUAAUAUGAAUAUUUUAAUUUAUUUAUGUUUAUCACGGCACUGACAAUAACACUACUCUUUCGCUGACGAGGCGAACUUGGUGGCUUCUUUGCAGAGAAAAAAACAGUGGUCAUGCACGAAACCGAUUUGUAUACGUGUCGGAAGGUAGCACAUGAUACAUCUAAAAUACUUAAUAUAUAUACAUCUAUUAAGUAUAUAUACUUUCGUCGUACACCGGUGUGAAACGUGACAAUUUACGAAAGUCAAUUUUUGUAUAAGUACUUUAUAUUGUCUCAAGGUAUAAUAAUAAUAUUUAGGCAUAUGAUGGCCGGCCUGUUGCCCUGGAUUUUGUAUAAAAAAAACUAGUUAAUAUGUAAAAAUUACUACAAAUAUUAUGAUUAUGUACUUUCUUUUACAGUUGUGUUAAAACAACACUGUCGACCAUUUUGUUCAUGAUUGUAUAACUUACACUUACUUAUAAUCAUACUAAGUCUCAACUGGCGAGUUUUUUUUUUAUAAUAGUUUGCCCGACUUUUCUAUAUCAAAGAUGUCUUCGGUGACUAAGAAGAUUGUAGUCUUCUGUGCUGAUUGCAGCGCCCUCUAGAAAGUAAAGUUGAAAGCAUUGCAUUAGUUAUUUACAAACGUUUUAUAAUAUUGGUUUGAAUCUGGGUGCCAUGACAAAAGUACCAAAAAUAGUUUGUUAUAGCAAAGUUCCUUGACGACGCGUGACCUUGUGAUGUUAAUUGUAAGUAUAUAGAAAUACAAAUAUUGUAACGUCAAGUACAAAUAAAAUGUUUUUCAUCUUA